AGCGGCGGACGGGUGAGUAACACGUGGGAAUGUGCCCUUCUGUUGAGGAUAGCCCCGGGAAACUGGGAGUAAUACUCGAUACGCCCUACGGGGGAAGGAAGGAUCAGCCCGCGUCUGAUUAGGUAGUUGGUGGGGUAAUGGCCUACCAAGCCUACGAUCAGUAGCUGGUUUUAGAGGAUGAUCAGCCACACUGGGACUGAGACACGGCCCAGACUCCUACGGGAGGCAGCAGUGGGGAAUCUUAGACAAUGGGCGCAAGCCUGAUCUAGCCAUGCCGCGUGAGUGAUGAGGCCCUAGGGUCGUAAAGCUCUUUCGCCAGGGAUGAUAAUGACAGUACCUGGUAAAGAAACCCCGGCUAACUCCGUGCCAGCAGCCGCGGUAAUACGGAGGGGGUUAGCGUUGUUCGGAAUUACUGGGCGUAAAGCGCACGUAGGCGGUUCAGAAAGUUGGGGGUGAAAUCCCGGGGCUCAACCCCGGAACUGCCUCCAAAACUCCCGGUCUUGAGUUCGAGAGAGGUGAGUGGAAUUCCGAGUGUAGAGGUGAAAUUCGUAGAUAUUCGGAGGAACACCAGUGGCGAAGGCGGCUCACUGGCUCGAUACUGACGCUGAGGUGCGAAAGUGUGGGGAGCAAACAGGAUUAGAUACCCUGGUAGUCCACACCGUAAACGAUGAAUGCCAGUCGUCGGCAAGCAUGCUUGUCG
rnacentral:rRNA from 1 species